rnacentral:rRNA from 1 species
CCUANGGGGGGCAGCAGUGGGGAAUAUUGCACAAUGGGCGCAAGCCUGAUGCAGCCAUGCCGCGUGUAUGAAGAAGGCCUUCGGGUUGUAAAGUACUUUCAGCGGGGAGGAAGGGAGUAAAGUUAAUACCUUUGCUCAUUGACGUUACCCGCAGAAGAAGCACCGGCUAACUCCGUGCCAGCAGCCGCGGUAAUACGGAGGGUGCAAGCGUUAAUCGGAAUUACUGGGCGUAAAGCGCACGCAGGCGGUUUGUUAAGUCAGAUGUGAAAUCCCCGGGCUCAACCUGGGAACUGCAUCUGAUACUGGCAAGCUUGAGUCUCGUAGAGGGGGGUAGAAUUCCAGGUGUAGCGGUGAAAUGCGUAGAGAUCUGGAGGAAUACCGGUGGCGAAGGCGGCCCCCUGGACGAAGACUGACGCUCAGGUGCGAAAGCGUGGGGAGCAAACAGGAUUAGAUACCCCUNUANUC